UACGGGAGGCAGCAGUGGGGAAUAUUGCACAAUGGGCGCAAGCCUGAUGCAGCCAUGCCGCGUGUAUGAAGAAGGCCUUCGGGUUGUAAAGUACUUUCAGUCGUGAGGAAGGUGUUAAGGUUAAUAACCUUAGCAAUUGACGUUAGCGACAGAAGAAGCACCGGCUAACUCCGUGCCAGCAGCCGCGGUAAUACGGAGGGUGCGAGCGUUAAUCGGAAUUACUGGGCGUAAGGGCACGCAGGCGGUUAAUUAAGUUGGAUGUGAAUCCCCGGGCUUAACCUGGGAAUGGCAUUCAAGACUGGUUAGCUAGAGUCUUGUAGAGGGGGUAGAAUUCCAUGUGUAGCGGUGAAAUGCGUAGAGAUGUGGAGGAAUACCGGUGGCGAAGGCGGCCCCUGGACAAGACUGACGCUCAUGUGCGAAAGCGUGGGGAGCAAACGAGGAUUAGAUACC
rnacentral:rRNA from 1 species